rnacentral:rRNA from 1 species
UACGUAGGGGGCAAGCGUUGUCCGGAUUUAUUGGGCGUAAAGAGCGUGUAGGCGGCCAGACAGGUCCGUUGUGAAAACUGGAGGCUCAACCUCCAGACGUCGAUGGAAACCGUCUGGCUAGAGUCCGGAAGAGGAGAGUGGAAUUCCCGGUGUAGAGGUGAAAAUUCGUAGAUAUCGGGGAGGAACACCGGUGGCGAAGGCGGCGCCUGGGUAGAUACUGACGCUGAGGUGCGAAAGCGUGGGGAGCAAACAGG